rnacentral:rRNA from 1 species
CCUACGGGUGGCAGCAGUGGGGAAUAUUGGACAAUGGGCGCAAGCCUGAUCCAGCAAUGCCGCGUGUGUGAAGAAGGCCUGCGGGUUGUAAAGCACUUUAAGCAGGAAAGAAGGUGUAAGGGUUAAUACCCCUUGCAAUUGACGUUACCUGCAGAAUAAGCACCGGCUAACUCCGUGCCAGCAGCCGCGGUAAUACGGAGGGUGCGAGCGUUAAUCGGAAUUACUGGGCGUAAAGCGCGCGUAGGCGGUUGACUAAGUCUGCUGUGAAAGCCCCGGGCUUAACCUGGGAACUGCAGUGGAUACUGGUUGGCUAGAGUAUGGUAGAGGGUAGUGGAAUUUCCGGUGUAGCAGUGAAAUGCGUAGAGAUCGGAAGGAACACCAGUGGCGAAGGCGGCUAUCUGGACCAAUACUGACGCUGAGGUGCGAAAGCGUGGGGAGCAAACAGGAUUAGAUACCCCAGUAGUC